GCGGGUUUACUCGGAGAGAUUUUACAUUUUAAUUUUUGCGUACGAAUUCGCGCGUGUAUUUUCUAUAUUCUCUCUCAGCGAAUUCCGAUAACACGACGUUCAUAUUGCCAUUCGUAUCGUGAUAAACCGUGAUUUUCAGAUUCUGAGCGCGGUGAGGAAUGCGGUUUUACUGUGACGCUGUGUGUGUUUUUUUUCGUGAACAUCUUUUCUCUCGCAAAUCC